rnacentral:rRNA from 1 species
UGCCAGACUCCUACGGGAGGCAGCAGUGAGGAAUAUUGGUCAAUGGCCGGGAGGCUGAACCAGCCAAGCCGCGUGAGGGAAGAAGGUACAGCGUAUCGUAAACCUCUUUUGUCAGGGAACAAAGGCGGGGACUAGUCCCCGGAUGAGGGUACCUGAAGAAAAAGCAUCGGCUAACUCCGUGCCAGCAGCCGCGGUAAUACGGAGGAUGCGAGCGUUAUCCGGAUUUAUUGGGUUUAAAGGGUGCGUAGGCGGAAUAUCAAGUCAGCGGUAAAAAUUCGGGGCUCAACCCCGUCGUGCCGUUGAAACUGAUGUUCUUGAGUGGGCGAGAAGUAUGCGGAAUGCGCGGUGUAGCGGUGAAAUGCUUAGAUAUCGCGCAGAACCCCGAUUGCGAAGGCAGCGUACCGGCUCCACACUGACGCUGAGGCACGAAAGCGUGGGCAUCGAACAGGAUUAGAUACCCCCGUA